AUUGAACGCUGGCGGAAUGCUUUACACAUGCAAGUCGAGCGGCAGCACGGGGGCAACCCUGGUGGCGAGCGGCGAACGGGUGAGUAAUACAUCGGAACAUGCCCAGUCGUGGGGGAUAACACUUCGAAAGAAGUGCUAAUACCGCAUACGUCCUGAGGGAGAAAGCGGGGGAUCGCAAGACCUCGCGCGAUUGGAGUGGCCGAUGUCAGAUUAGCUAGUUGGUGGGGUAAAGGCCUACCAAGGCAACGAUCUGUAGCUGGUCUGAGAGGAUGAUCAGCCACACUGGGACUGAGACACGGCCCAGACUCCUACGGGAGGCAGCAGUGGGGAAUUUUGGACAAUGGGGGCAACCCUGAUCCAGCCAUUCCGCGUGAGUGAAGAAGGCCUUCGGGUUGUAAAGCUCUUUCGGCAGGAACGAAACGGCGAGCUCUAACAUAGCCUGCUAAUGACGGUACCUGAAGAAGAAGCACCGGCUAACUACGUG
rnacentral:rRNA from 1 species